CGCGCGGUACCGGCCUAAGUUCCUUGGAACAGGGCGUCAUAGAGGGUGAGAAUCCCGUAUGCGGCCGGCCUCCAAGCCCGCAGGAAACUCCUUCGACGAGUCGAGUUGUUUGGGAAUGCAGCUCUAAAUGGGUGGUAAAUUUCAUCUAAAGCUAAAUACCGGCCAGAGACCGAUAGCGCACAAGUAGAGUGAUCGAAAGAUGAAAAGCACUUUGGAAAGAGAGUCAAAAAGUACGUGAAAUUGUUGAAAGGGAAGCGCUUGCGACCAGACCUGCCCGCGGGUGCUCAGCGGCGGUUCUCCCCCGUGUACUCGCCCGCGAACAGGCCAGCAUCGGUUCGGGCGGCCGGAGAAUGGCCUGGGGAAUGUAGCUCCCCUCGGGGAGUGUUAUAGCCCUGGGCGUCAUGCGGCCAGCCCGGACCGAGGACCGCGCUUCGGCAAGGAUGCUGGCGUAAUGGCCGCAAGCGACCCGUCUUGAAACACGGACCAAGGAGUCUAUUAGGUAUGCGAGUGUUUGGGUGUCAACCCACACGCGCAAUGAAAGUGAACGGAGGUGGGAGCCCGUACGGGUGCACCAUCGACCGGUCCUGAAGUUUACGGAUGGAUCCGAGUAUGAGCACACCUAAUGGGACCCGAAAGAUGGUGAACUAUGCCUGAGCAGGGUGAAGCCAGAGGAAACUCUGGUGGAGGCUCGCAGCCGUUCUGACGUGCAAAUCGAUGGACAGACUUGGGUAUAGGGUACGUAUUGAUAUGACUUAAUUGGUUUCUCUCGGCCGUGAAACGCUAACAGUAUAAUGUACAGGGCGAAAGACUAAUCGAACCAUCUGUUUUUUUUUUUUUGGCCUAAGCGUUGAGCAUAGCUUAAUUCUUCUCGCUACUAGGUGGUUGAGGAAGAGGCGUACCUGAACGGAGGUAUAGACAACUCUUAGCCUUUCGAGGUUAUAGUGCUAAAGUGCAUCGGCUGCUGCUGCAACGCAGUAUUUUCAACAUGCAGCGGGUUGCCGAGCAACAACUCGGACCCGUUCACAGACCAAAUAGCACUGGCUGGGUUCAAACGCCCGGUCACUUUGAUAUGGCCGAGUCCCACUCCGCACGGAGUUGGUUUCGGGAAGAGCACCACAGGGGUUUCCCUCCCUGUUGCUCCCUGGAACCGAAGGGUCCCGACGCUAGUAGCUGGUUCCUGCCGAAGUUUCGUAAGUACCACUUUGCUUCCCAAGCAACGACCCUUCACAAGACAUUCACUAACAAUAUCGUACAGCCUCAGGAUAGCAGUGACGUUUUCAGUUUUAUGAGGUAGAGCGAAUGAUUAGGGUCUCUGGGGGCGCUACUAAAUGCCCUCGAACCAUUCUCAAACUCCGAAUGUGUAAGAAGUCCCCGUUGCUUAAUUGAACGGGGACAUUUGAAUGCACCGUCACUAGUGGGCCAUUUUUGGUAAGCAGAACUGGCGAUGCGGGAUGAACCGAACGCGAGGUUAAGGUGCCGGAAUGCACGCUCAUCAGACACCACAAAAGGUGUUGAUUCAUCUAGACAGCCGGACGGUGGCCAUGGAAGUCGGAAUCCGCUAAGGAGUGUGUGUAACCGUUUUCAACCCCCUUCGACCUCUGUCCGGGCGCGGCACGACACUAACGGA
rnacentral:rRNA from 1 species